rnacentral:rRNA from 1 species
UACGUAGUGUGCGAGCGUUGUCCGGAAUUAUUGGGCGUAAAGAGCUCGUAGGCGGUUUGUCGCGUCUGCUGUGAAAUCCCGGAGCUUAACUCCGGGCCUGCAGUGGGUACGGGCAGACUUGAGUGCGGUAGGGGAGAUUGGAAUUCCUGGUGUAGCGGUGGAAUGCGCAGAUAUCAGGAGGAACACCGAUGGCGAAGGCAGAUCUCUGGGCCGUAACUGACGCUGAGGAGCGAAAGCAUGGGGAGCGAACAGG